AUGCUGUUCCCUGCACUGUUCCCCAUGCUGUUCCCUGCACUGUUCUCUGUGCUGUUCCCUGCACUGUUCCCCAUGCUGUUCCCUGAACUAUUCCCUGUGCUGUUCCCCAUGUUGUUCCCUGCACUGCUCCCUGCACUGUUCCACAUGCUGUUUCCUGCACUAUUCCCCAUGCUGUUCCCUGCACUUUUCUCUGCGCCAUUCCCCAUGCGUUCCCUGCACUGUUCCCUGCACUGUUCCCCAUGCUGUUCCCUGCGCUGUUCCCCAUGCUGUUCCCUGCACUGUUCCUCAUGCUGUUCCCUGCGCUGUUCCACAUGCUGUUCCCUGCGCUGUUCCCCAUGCUGUUCCCUGCACUGUUCCCCAUGCUGUUCCCUGCAAUGCUCCCUGCACUGUUCCCCGCACUGCUCCCUGCACUGUUCCCCAUGCUGUUUCCUGCACUAUUCCCCAUGCUGUUCCCUGCACUUUUCUCUGUGCCGUUCCCCAUGCAUUCCCUGCACUGUUCCCUGCACUGUUCCCCAUGCUGUUCCCUGCAAUGCUCCCUGCACUGUUCCCCGCACUGCUCCCUGCACUAUUCCCCAUGCUGUUCCCUGCACUUUUCUCUGUGCCGUUCCCCAUGCAUUCCCUGCACUGUUCCCUGCACUGUUCCCCAUGCUGUUCCCUGCACUGUUCCCCAUGCUGUUUCCUGCACCGUUCCCCAUGCUGUUCCCUGCAGGGUUCCCUGCACUGUUCCCCAUGCUGUUCCCUGCACAUUUCAUGCCCCAGACCUUCCCAUUCUCCCACCAACACACUGGAUCAUCCUUCAAAAGCUUCUGUAGUGUCUCCAACCACUCAAGUGCUGGGACUGGGUGGGGGCAGGAUGGAGUUAGACCCUGCAGACCCUGGCCUUCGAGGUCCGUCCCCCUCAGACGUCUCCCCCAACGCCAUGGCCGGCUCUUGAAGGCCACAGAGAGAUCCACGUGCUGGACACCGACUACGAGGGCUACGCCAUCCUGCGGGUGUCCCUGAUGUGGCGGGGCAGGAACUUUCGCGUCCUCAAGUACUUUACUCGGAGCCUUGAGGACAAGGACCGGCUGGGGUUCUGGAAGUUUCGGGAGCUGACAGCAGACACUGGUCUCUACCUGGCGGCCCGGCCUGGGCGGUGUGCCGAGCUCCUGAAGGAGGAGCUGAUUUAAUGGAGUUCCUGCCUCAGACCACAAGGUUCGGAGCGCCCGCCCACCCCUGCCCCUCCUGGGCACCCUGCCCACCAGGUCACCUGCACCUGCUCUGAAUAAACUGUGAAGUCAA